rnacentral:rRNA from 1 species
GACAGAGGCCUCAAGCGUUAGGCGGAAUCACUGGGCUUAAAGCGUGUGUAGGCGGAUCGUUAAGUGUCUUGUGAAAUCCCACGGCUCACCCGUGGAACUGCUGGGCAUACUGGCGAUCUUGGGCCAACUAGGGGCAGCCGGAACAAGCGGUGGAGCGGUGAAAUGCGUAGAUAUCGCUUGGAACGCCGAAGGUGAAAACAGGCUGCUGGGGUUGCGCCGACGCUGAGACACGAAAGCCAGGGGAGCAAACGGGG